rnacentral:rRNA from 1 species
GGGAUAACACUUGGAACCAGGUGCUAAUACCGCAUAACCAUAGUUACCGCAUGGUAACUAUGUAAAAGGUGGCUAUGCUACCGCUUUUGGAUGGGCCCGCGGCGCAUUAGCUAGUUGGUGGGGUAAAGGCUUACCAAGGCAAUGAUGCGUAGCCGAACUGAGAGGUUGAUCGGCCACAUUGGGACUGAGACACGGCCCAAACUCCUACGGGAGGCAGCAGUAGGGAAUCUUCCACAAUGGGCGAAAGCCUGAUGGAGCAACGCCGCGUGGGUGAAGAAGGUCUUCGGAUCGUAAAACCCUGUUGUUAGAGAAGAAAGUGCGUGAGAGUAACUGUUCACGUUUCGACGGUAUCUAACCAGAAAGCCACGGCUAACUACGUGCCAGCAGCCGCGGUAAUACGUAGGUGGCAAGCGUUAUCCGGAUUUAUUGGGCGUAAAGGGAACGCAGGCGGUCUUUUAAGUCUGAUGUGAAAGCCUUCGGCUUAACCGGAGUAGUGCAUUGGAAACUGGGAGACUUGAGUGCAGAAGAGGAGAGUGGAACUCCAUGUGUAGCGGUGAAAUGCGUAGAUAUAUGGAAGAACACCAGUGGCGAAAGCGGCUCUCUGGUCUGUAACUGACGCUGAGGUUCGAAAGCGUGGGUAGCAAACAGGAUUAGAUACCCUGGUAGUCCACGCCGUAAAC